rnacentral:rRNA from 1 species
GUAAUGACGGUACCUGAGUAGAAAGCCACGGCUAACUACGUGCCAGCAGCCGCGGUAAUACGUAGGUGGCAAGCGUUGUCCGGAAUUAUUGGGCGUAAAGCGCGCGCAGGUGGGAUAUUAAGUCUGGUGUUAAAGUUCGGGGCUCAACCCCGUGAAGCAUUUGGAAACUGAUAUUCUUGGGUGCAGGAGAGGAAAGUGGAAUUCCUAGUGUAGCGGUGAAAUGCGUAGAUAUUAGGAGGAACACCAGUGGCGAAGGCGACUUUCUGGACUGUGUCUGACACUGAGGCGCGAAAGCUAGGGUAGUGAACAGGAUUAGAUACCCUGGUAAUCCUAGCUGUAAACGAUGGGUACUAGGUGUUGGGGGUAUCGACCCCUCCAGUGCCGGAGUUAACGCAAUAAGUACCCCGCCUGGGGAGUACGGCCGCAAGGUUG